rnacentral:pre_miRNA from 1 species
UUUACAGAAAUCAUUGGCAUUCUGUCCACCUCCCAUAAUAUAAGUUUCCUUUUUUUUUUUAUAUAGAAAAAAGCCAUUUGUUUUCUUUUUUACUUGGGAGGUGGGCAUCCUGCCAAUAGAGCUCUGUUUG